ACAAUGGAGAGUUUGAUCCUGGCUCAGGAUGAACGCUAGCUACAGGCUUAACACAUGCAAGUCGAGGGGAAACGACAUUGAAGCUUGCUUCGAUGGGCGUCGACCGGCGCACGGGUGAGUAACGCGUAUCCAACCUGCCUCUGACUAAGGGAUAACCCGGCGAAAGUCGGACUAAUACCUUAUGAGGUUUUCAGCAGACAUCUAACGAAAACGAAAGAUUUAUCGGUCAGUGAUGGGGAUGCGUCUGAUUAGCUUGUUGGCGGGGUAACGGCCCACCAAGGCAACGAUCAGUAGGGGUUCUGAGAGGAAGGUCCCCCACAUUGGAACUGAGACACGGUCCAAACUCCUACGGGAGGCAGCAGUGAGGAAUAUUGGUCAAUGGGCGAGAGCCUGAACCAGCCAAGUAGCGUGCAGGAUGACGGCCCUAUGGGUUGUAAACUGCUUUUAUGUGGGGAUAAAGUGAGCUACGUGUAGUUUAUUGCAGGUACCACAUGAAUAAGGACCGGCUAAUUCCGUGCCAGCAGCCGCGGUAAUACGGAAGGUCCAGGCGUUAUCCGGAUUUAUUGGGUUUAAAGGGAGCGUAGGCCGUGGAUUAAGCGUGUUGUGAAAUGUAGACGCUCAACGUCUGAAUUGCAGCGCGAACUGGUUCACUUGAGUAUGCACAACGUAGGCGGAAUUCGUCGUGUAGCGGUGAAAUGCUUAGAUAUGACGAAGAACUCCGAUUGCGAAGGCAGCUUACGGG
rnacentral:rRNA from 1 species